rnacentral:rRNA from 1 species
AUACGGAGGGUGCAAGCGUUGUCCGGAUUUAUUGGGUUUAAAGGGUGCGCAGGCGGUGCGUUAAGUCAGUGGUGAAAUCUUCCGGCUCAACCGGGAAACUGCCAUUGAUACUGGCGCACUUGAGUACGGACGAGGUAGGCGGAAUUUAUGGUGUAGCGGUGAAAUGCAUAGAUACCAUAAAGAACACCGAUAGCGAAGGCAGCUUACCAGACCGUAACUGACGCUCAGGCACGAAAGCGUGGGGAGCAGACAGGAUUAGAAACCCUAGUAGUCC